rnacentral:rRNA from 1 species
CAGUCGCCGCGGUAAUGCGUAGGUGGCAAGCGUUGUCCGGAAUUAUUGGGCGUAAAGGGCUCGCAGGCGGUUUCUUAAGUCUGAUGUGAAAGCCCCCGGCUCAACCGGGGAGGGUCAUUGGAAACUGAGAAACUUGAGUGCAGAAGAGGAGAGUGGAAUUCCACGUGUAGCGGUGAAAUGCGUAGGGAUGUGGAGGAACACCAGUGGCGAAGGCGACUCUCUGGUCUGUAACUGACGCUGAGGAGCGAAAGCGUGGGGAGCGAACAGGAUUAGAUACCCCUGUAGUCCCUGUCUCUUAUAC